GGAUGAUCCAAGACAAGCUCUUGAGAAACCCUUCAAGGCUUGCCCCUUGAGCAAAUCUUCCGAAACAUUGGGUUGUUGCCAUGCAUUGAAAGCUUCACUUUAAGAGUCAGACAAGCAAUGUACCUGUGAAAAGUGCUGCCUUUGUAGCCAAUAGGAACUCCAUCUUUCCUAGAAUACAAAGAUACAGACAUGGUGAAGUUGUGCAGCUUCGGACCACAGGAACUACCCCACCCCAGUCCUCAAGGUAUUCACAUCUGCAGUGGGUCUUGAAUUGGUGACCUGAAAGAUCUCAGAUGUGGUUUCAGUUGUGCGCCACCAAUGAGCUUUGGCCAAAGAAGUGGAUUGCCAAAGGCCGCCCAGCCCCAAAAGGUCAAGGCAGGUCAUGUGCUACUUUCUGACCCUCAGCAGAUGUGUCUGGGUCAUCUGGCUACAUAUGGAAAGCAGUCAUAGAAGCCAGCUUGGACAAAGUGAGAGGCUGGCUUUCUGUAAGAUGGGCAGAAAGUGCCCUUCUCCCCCUUCAGCCUAGUGCAAGUCUGCUUUGAUUAAACCAAGAGGCCAAGUGCUCUUUUUACACCUGCCUGCACACCCCAGGUGAAGGGCAAGAGAAAAUACCACCCAGAGAGGCAUCAGCCUUCUAAUUAUAUUUAGGACUUAUUAGACAAACACUCAUCAACACACAAGGGACUCAGACUGCAGAAAUAAGUACUUGCGGCUUAAAUUGAAUGGGGAAAGUGUGAGGUAGAAAUCAAGGCACAGUAUUUCUGCAAUCUAGGAACUCAUCAAAAUCCCAGUUUUCAAACUUACAAAUUCCCAGUUCUCAAGGAAUGUAUACACCAAAGAAAUUGCUGACUUAUGACCACUGUAAAAUAAUCUCCCAUGUCACUCUCUGAGCCUUUCCUUUUGCACCCCAGGUGAUAAGGAACAAAAAUUCCAAACCACAACCAAGUACAUCUCCGGAACCAAAGAAGUGUUGUACACAAGCAGAGAUGAGGCAUUUGCAAAGCCAGAAAUGGAUAAAAGCCCCCCAUCCAAACAAUGACUAUCAUCAGUGCAGAAAUAAGUCACCAUCUGAGAGGGCUCUCACCUUUUCUGACUGACUUUUGGAGAGCUUGAGUUCGUUCUCGAGGUGCCUGAUGCGGACAUCACGCUGCUUCAC